GACGAACGCUGGCGGCGUGCUUAACACAUGCAAGUCGAACGGAAAGGCCCUGCUUUUGUGGGGUGCUCGAGUGGCGAACGGGUGAGUAACACGUGAGUAACCUGCCCUUGACUUUGGGAUAACUUCAGGAAACUGGGGCUCAUACCGGAUAGGAGCUCCUGCUGCAUGGUGGGGGUUGGAAAGUUUCGGCGGUUGGGGAUGGACUCGCGGCUUAUCAGCUUGUUGGUGGGGUAGUGGCUUACCAAGGCUUUGACGGGUAGCCGGCCUGAGAGGGUGACCGGCCACAUUGGGACUGAGAUACGGCCCAGACUCCUACGGGAGGCAGCAGUGGGGAAUAGUGCACAAUGGGCGGAAGCCUGAUGCAGCAACGCCGCGUGCGGGAUGACGGCCGUCGGGUUGUAAACCGCUUUCGCCUGUGACGAAGCGUGAGUGACGGUAAUGGGUAAAGAAGCACCGGCUAACUACGUG
rnacentral:rRNA from 1 species